GACGAACGCUGGCGGCGUGCUUAACACAUGCAAGUCGAGCGGAAAGGCCUCUUCGGGGGUACUCGAGCGGCGAACGGGUGAGUAACACGUGAGUAACCUGCCUCUGGCUUUGGGAUAACCCUCGGAAACGGGGGCUAAUACCGAAUAUUCAGUUCCUGCGGCAUCGUGGGGGUUGGAAAGUUUUUCGGCUAGGGAUGGGCUCGCGGCCUAUCAGCUUGUUGGUGGGGUAAUGGCCUACCAAGGCUUCGACGGGUAGCCGGCCUGAGAGGCGACCGGCCACACUGGGACUGAGACACGGCCCAGACUCCUACGGGAGGCAGCAGUGGGGAAUAUUGCACAAUGGGCGGAAGCCUGAUGCAGCGACGCCGCGUGAGGGAUGACGGCC
rnacentral:rRNA from 1 species